rnacentral:rRNA from 1 species
CACAAGCGGUGGAUGAUGUGGAUUAAUUCGAUGCAACGCGAAAACCUUACCUACCCUUGACAUGCCAGGAACCCUGCUGAGAGGUGGGGUGCUCGAAAGAGAACCUGGGCACAGGUGCUGCAUGGCUGUCGUCAGCUCGUGUCGUGAGAUGUUGGGUUAAGUCCCGCAACGAGCGCAACCCUUGUCAUUAGUUGCCAUCAUUUAGUUGGGCACUCUAAUGAGACUGCCGGUGACAAACCGGAGGAAGGUGGGGAUGACGUCAAGUCCUCAUGGCCCUUAUGGGUAGAGCUUCACACGUCAUACAAUGGUCGGUACAGAGGGUUGCCAAGCCGCGAGGUGGAGCCAAUCCCAGAAAGCCGAUCGUAGUCCGGAUCGGAGUCUGCAACUCGACUCCGUGAAGUCGGAAUCGCUAGUAAUCGUGGAUCAGCAUGCCACGGUGAAUACGUUCCCGGGUCUU